AUUGAACGCUGGCGGCAGGCCUAACACAUGCAAGUCGAGCGCGAGGCGGACAGGUGAGUAAUGUCUGGGGAACUGCCCGUUGGGGGGGGGUAACUACUGGAAACGGUAGCUAUUACCCCAUACGAUAAGGUGUGCCCAGAUGGGAUUAGCUAGUGGGUGGGGUAAAGGCUCACCUAGGCGACGAACCCUAGCUGGUCUGAGAGGAUGAGCAGCCACACUGGAACUGAGACACGGUCCAGACUCCUACGGGAGGCAGCAGUGGGGAAUAUUGCACAAUGGGCGCAAGCCUGAUGCAGCCAUGCCGCGUGUGUGAAGAAGGCCUUCGGGUUGUAAAGUACUUUCAGCGGGGAGGCGUUACCCGCAGAAGAAGCACCGGCUAACUCCGUGCCAGCAGCCGCGGUAAUAC
rnacentral:rRNA from 1 species